UACAAGAUGGUGCUAAGCGUAUUUUUCUAGAUGUUGCUUGUUUCUUUAAAGAGGAGGUAUUGGAAACUAUUGAAGAAAAACUAGCGGCUUAUGAUUUUGGUGCAAGGUCUUAUAUUGAAGUUCUUGUUGACAAAUCUCUUGUAACUGUUGCUGAUAAUGGUAACUUGGGCAUGCAUGAUCUAAUACAGCAAAUGGGUAGAGAGAUUAUUAGGCAGGAGGCACCGUCAAAUCCUUGUAAAUGCAGUAGAUUAUGGCAUUACAAAGAUGUUCUCAAAGUAUUGCGUGAAAAUCUAGAAAGCGGUAAUAUUGAAGGAAUAAUGCUUGAUCCGCCUCAACAAGAAGAAGUGGAGUGGAGUGGUAUGGCUUUUGAGAAGAUGAGUAAUCUUAGGAUUCUUGUGGUCCGGAAUUCCCAAUUUUCAGCUACCCAAAGUAUUUUCCAAGUAGUUUAAGAUUGCUUGAUUGGGCGGGAUAUCCUCCUACAACUUUGCCACCAGAUUUUUCUCCUAAGAAACUAGUUUUCAUCAAAUUAUCUGGUAGACUUUUCAGAAUGGAAGAGUCAUUCAAGAGGUUUGAAUGUGUAACGUAUAUGAAUUUCUCAUACUGCAAAUUCAUAACUGAAGUACCUGAUAUGUCUCAAUUUCAAAAUUUAAGAAGACUGUUGUUCAAAAGAUGUCACAAUCUAAUCAAAGUUCAUGACUCGGUUGGAUCUCUGUGUAAGCUGGUUGAAUUAAAUCUUAGUAGAUGCACCAAUCUUACAGGCUGUCCACACGAAAUCAAGAUGACAUCUCUUCAAAAGCUUCAUCUCAGAUAUUGCAGGAGCCUUGACCACUUCCCACAUAUAGUGGGAAAGAUGGAUGCACUGAGGACAAUUUAUGCAGAAGACACUGCAAUUAAAGAGCUCCCUCCUUCUAUUGGAAAUCUUCCGAGGCUUGAAUCUUUAGUUAUAAGCUCCCACAAAAGUCUUAGGGAGCUUCCAAGCAGCUUAUUCACGUUGCAAAGCCUUAGUUGGCUUAAUUUAAGAGGCAUUCAACCUCCGAGCAGAAAAUCUUUGAAGAAAUCAUUGCAAGAGAACCAACCAGUUAUUAGCCGCUCAAACUUGAAGAUGUUGAAUCUCGAAAAUUGUUGUCUACUGCUUGAAGAUCUUCACCUAGCUCUAAAUUGUUUUUGGAAUGUGCAAGAGUUAAUUUUAUCAGGGAGUGACUUUGUGUCCCUUCCUGAGUGCAUUAUAGAGUGUGCUAAUAUGCGGAAUCUAGUAUUGAAUAAACUGCAAGAGGCCAAGAGACAUACCAGAGUUGCCAUCAAAAUUGGAAAAUAUAGAGGCUGAGAAUUGCAUAUAAUUAUCUACAGGGUCAGUAGGCCAUUUAUGGUCUCAGGUUUUUGUCAUUUUUUUCUUUCUAUAAUCUUUCUUUUGCCAUUUUGAAGUUAAUCAAAUUAAAUGCUGGUCUGAUGGUCAGAUCUCAGAUAGAUACUGAUCUGAAAAUGCCUUUGGGCUCUUUUCUGGUAAAUCAGGCAAGAAAGGAGUUCCAUCACUUGAACAUUACUAUGCCACCAACAACAUUUCCUGAUUGAUUGUUUCAGCAUAUGCUGUAAAGGAGGGACAUUGUCUUUUUGUGCUCGUGGGAAUUUCCCUCAUGCUGCCUUUGCUUUUGAGUUGGGAAAGCAAACUUGAGUGAGAAACACUUUGUCCAUGUUUCCUUGAGCGUCAAUGGUCGUCAAACACAAAGGAGACAAAUGCUGCAAAUUAUGGAACUAGGCAAGGCCAUCUGUUUUUAUUUGAUAUAAAAAUGGCUUUUGAGCCAGAAGAGUGGGAGAGGCUUGAUAGUUUUCUGGAGCUGGAUUGGAAUGAUGUGGCAGUAGAGGUCCUACGUUUGACUCCCCGCAGGAAAAAAGAAGUCAUAAAGUUAACACCAGAAAUGCCUAUAGUUAACUGUGGAGUGUAUGCGUACAAACAGCAAACAAACAUGGAGAAUGUCCUUUUCAAGUCAUCUAUACUUUCCAUGAAUGUUCCUAUAACUUCACAGAAACGAAGAGCAAUUGCUUCUCCUCCUAAUGAACCGCCCAUGAAGAUCUUGAGAAAAUUCAAGGGUGUUGAUAACGGAAAACUCAAUAACACAAAAUGGGAUAAGGUCCAGGAGAAUCAAACUACACCAAAUUUUUCGUUUGUGCUGCAAAAGAAAGAUUGUUUUUCCAAUAGGUAAGCAUGUUUGGUUGUAAAUUCAAUGAGAUGAAUGGUUUAUUUUUCUAAUAUGCAUUAUCAUUUGUGAAUUGGAAAUAUCUGUUUAUGAAGGAAAGAAUGUUAUGUCAUCACACCUUAGUGGCUUUAUGCUUUACCUGAAACCAAAAGGGUAUGGGUUCGGUAAUGGUAAAUCUAAUGUUUCAUUUCCCGAGGCAUUUAUCAUAGAAACUAGGUAGAGUUUUUGAAAUAAUGGGGUCAAUUUGUUUACCCAUACUAACGUGUAAUCUUUUUAA